UAACUUGAGAGUUUGAUCCUGGCUCAGAACGAACGCUGGCGGCAGGCCUAACACAUGCAAGUCGAACGAGCCCUUCGGGGCGAGUGGCGCACGGGUGA
rnacentral:rRNA from 1 species